GAAUAAAUUAAUAUAUUUACCUGUAUAUGUUUGAUAAUAUGGUUCAAAUGUUUCUACUAAGCUACCAUUAAUAGCUUGACUACAGGAGUGAAGAAGAUAUAGU
rnacentral:ncRNA from 30 species